AGCUCCAAUAGCGUAUAUUAAAUUUGUUGCAGUUAAAAAGCUCGUAGUUGGAUUUUUGGUCGAGGCAGUCGGUCCUACACUUUUGUGAAGGCACCUGACAGCCUCGUCCUUUGUUGGGUGGAACCCAUGUGGCAUUAAGUUGUCGUGUGGGGGAUGCUCAUCUUUUACUGUGAAAAAAUUAGAGUGUUCAAAGCAGGCUUAUGCCGAUGCAUAUAUUAGCAUGGAAUAAUAAGAUAGGACCUUGGUACUAUUUUGUUGGUUUGCGCAUCAAGGUAAUGAUUAAUAGGGACAGUUGGGGGUAUUUGUAUUCCAUUGUCAGAGGUGAAAUUCUUGGAUUUUUGGAAGACAAACUACUGCGAAAGCAUUUACCAAGGAUGUUUUCAUUAAUCAAGAACGAAAG
rnacentral:rRNA from 1 species